rnacentral:rRNA from 1 species
AUUGAACGCUGGCGGCAUGCCUUACACAUGCAAGUCGAACGGUAACGGGCCUUCGGGUGCCGACGAGUGGCGAACGGGUGAGUAAUACAUCGGAACGUGCCCGAUCGUGGGGGAUAACGAGGCGAAAGCUUUGCUAAUACCGCAUACGAACUACGGAUGAAAGCAGGGGACCGCAAGGCCUUGCGCGGACGGAGCGGCCGAUGGCAGAUUAGGUAGUUGGUGGGAUAAAAGCUUACCAAGCCGACGAUCUGUAGCUGGUCUGAGAGGAUGAUCAGCCACACUGGGACUGAGACACGGCCCAGACUCCUACGGGAGGCAGCAGUGGGGAAUUUUGGACAAUGGGCGCAAGCCUGAUCCAGCCAUGCCGCGUGCAGGAUGAAGGCCUUCGGGUUGUAAACUGCUUUUGUACGGAACGAAAAGCCUUCUUUUAAUACAGGAGGGUCAUGACGGUACCGUAAGAAUAAGCACCGGCUAACUACGUG